rnacentral:rRNA from 1 species
UGUGCCUACGGGGGGCAGCAGUGGGGGAUAUUGGACAAUGGGGGGAACCCUGAUCCAGCGACGCCGCGUGAGUGAAGACGGCCUUCGGGUUGUAAAGCUCUGUCGCAGGGGACGAAAAUGACGGUACCCUGCAAGAAAGCUCCGGCUAACUACGUGCCAGCAGCCGCGGUAAUACGUAGGGAGCAAGCGUUGUCCGGAAUUACUGGGUGUAAAGGGAGCGUAGGCGGGAGGAUAAGUUGAAUGUGAAAUCCAUGGGCUCAACCCAUGGCUGCGUUCAAAACUGUUCUUCUUGAGUGAAGUAGAGG